rnacentral:rRNA from 1 species
GAAUAUUGGACAAUGGGGGGAACCCUGAUCCAGCCAUGCCGCGUGUGUGAAGAAGGCCUUUUGGUUGUAAAGCACUUUAAGCGAGGAGGAGGCUACCUGGAUUAAUACUUUAGGAUAGUGGCAGUUACUAGCAGAAUAAGCACCGGCUAACUCUGUGCCAGCCGCCGCGGUAAUACAGAGGGUGCGAGCGUUCAGCGGAUUUACUGGGCGUAAAGCGGGCGUAGGCGGCCAAUUAAGUCAAAUGUGUAAUCCCCGAGCUUAACUUGUGAAUUGCAUUCGAUACUGGUUGGCUAGAGUAUGGGAGAGGAUGGUAGAAUUCCAGGUGUAGCGGUGAAAUGCGUAGAGAUCUGGAGGAAUACCGAUGGCGAAGGCAGCCAUCUGGCCUAAUACUGACGCUGAGGUACGAAAGCAUGGGGAGCAAACAG